GGAAGUUAAGAAACUGUUUCUUAACUUUUAACUAAAAAAGCUAAGAACCGAUUCUUAAAGUCCUUAUUUAAGAACCGGUUCUUAGCAUUUUUAGUUAAAAAUUAAAAAAAAAAACAGUUUCUUAACUUCU
rnacentral:pre_miRNA from 1 species